ACGGGGCGGGAGCGCAGGGAGGGCUCCCGGGGAGUGGCAGGCGGGCGGUCGCCGCUCUCCGGCCAAUCCUCGCCCCCGGGGAGCGCGGAGGCGGGGCCGCGGCCGGCGUGAAUAUGCACGAGGCACUGCGGGACCACCCCCGGCCUCACCUGCGCGCACCUGGACUCAGGCUGAAGCGCCGCGCCCAGUGUCCUGCCGCGUGCGGGAGGAAAUAGUCCCUGGGACGCACGGCAUCCUGGGCCGCCUCCAGGAUGGAUCGCCGAGGGCAGCGGCCCCUCCCCCACGUCGGCCCGGAGCGACUGCUGGAGGGACGUAGCCGCGCCGGGUCUUCCCGAAGACGCCCAACCCAGUCCGAGCCGACACACAUGAAUAUCCCCCAGCUCAUGUCCAACCUCAGGAGUCAAGCUCCAGCUGCCAACUCCUGCUGGCAGCCAAGGCACCGUGGAGACAGGCACUACCUGGAGACUCACCGGGCACCUCCAUCAGCAAGGUGUGUGGUCCGCAGCAGAGAGAGAUGCUGCAGGGCUGUGGCUGCGAGGACAGUGAAAAUAAGGUGUUGGGGGGUGGUCAACUAUUUACAGACUCCUCUGACAUUUCUGAAUCUGCCAUCUAGUUUAGUGUUGCCAGACUUAACAGAUUAAAUAAAAUUGUAGGUAUGUCCAAUACUUGGAAUACACUUACACUAAAAAAAAUUAGCUGAUUAUCUGAACUUCAAAUAGAACCCAUCUGGCAACCCUAAUCUUAUUACUUAGAAUCUCCCAUGUUCUCAUAAAGAUUGUAAAGAA